rnacentral:lncRNA from 1 species
AUUCACUCUAAAACUUAGUUUACUAAAAAAUUUAAAUCACUAAUUCUUGAUCUAUACCAAAUUUUAAAUGAAUUUUUAAAUGCGAAGGAAUCUACUGCCUCAGCACUAUUGAACAACAAGCUUUGAAGAAUUGUAUCUUAGUACUUACCUAUAUUUUUUUGCUGAAAUUUAUUGGAAAUAGAACUCUACUAAUUCUAAUUUUAGGAAUGAUUAUACUUGUCAAUUUUAAACUAUUAAUUGAUUUUUCGUAAAUUUUUAAGUAGAAGGGGAUUUGCUGCCUAUGCAGCUCAAGUCACCUCGCUUUGAAAACACACAUCUCAGAUGUCAAACCUUGGAUCACCAUAAAAUUUGGUAGAUAGGAGCAACUCUAAGUCAACCUCAACCACAAAAAAAUUUCAAGUGCAUAGGAGCUGUGUAAAAAUGUUAACAAAUUUU